ACUUCAUAUGAGAUAGCCUAGUUAGAUGAGAAAUAAGACUUAAUCGUAGCCAUUUGUAAACAGGAACGUAGGGUUGAGAUUUGAUAUUUAGAUUUUAAUAUUAGAUGUUACAUUUCAGCGCAUUAAUCAUAAUAAUAAUCUUUCGAAGGGCAAUUUGGUCUUAGGGUGCUAAAGCGGUGAUCGAAAUUAGAGGAAAACCCCGACUUUCACUCUUCCGUUCCUCUAGCGUGUGUAGGAGUCCGAGAAAACAACGAAGAAGAAACCAAACUACGGCGUAACGCACUGCCAUUGACAUAAAGCUAUGGUUGGAUAGAGACGACGAGUAAAACGACGACGAGGAAAAAGAAAUUGAUCUGAAAGCAGAGGGCACACAAGCACUCGGUGAGAUUGGAAAGUGCAUACACAAGAAGAUGGACCGCCUUGAAGAAGAUUGUGGUGGACCUAGAGCAUUUGAUUGAGGAGACUGAUGGCGUGACUGUGAAUGAAGAAAUAUUGUGGAAAUUUCAAGACACAACCCAACACCUAGUGCGAAUGCAGGGAAGU